UUUCCAUAGGUGAACCUGCGGAAGGAUCAUUCAUAAUAAAGUGUUUUAUGGCACUUUUUAAAAGUCCAUAUCCACCUUGUGUGCAAUGUUAGAUCUCGUCAAUCUUGGCGAGAUUUUCAUACAUCAACUCAUUCUUUAACUAAUUUGUCUGAAAAAUAUUAUGAAUACUUAAUUCAAAAUACAACUUUCAACAACGGAUCUCUUGGCUCUC
rnacentral:misc_RNA from 1 species